GGUACUCCCGGGCCGGCGCCGGGGGUAUGUGGUGGGGUGCGAGCGUUAUGCUGAAUUACGUGGCGUAAAGCGUGCGCAGGCGGUUUUGCAAGACAGUGGUGAAAUCCCCGUGCUGAACCUGGUAACGGCCAUUGUGACUGCAAGGCUGGAGUGCGGCAGAGGGGGAUGGAAUUUCGCGUGUAGCAGUGAAAUGCGUAGAUAUGCGGAGGAACACCGAUGGCGAAGGCAAUCCCCUGGGCCUGCACUGACGCUCAUGCACGAAAGCGUGGGGAGCAAACAGGAUUAGAUACCCCGGUAGUC
rnacentral:rRNA from 1 species